rnacentral:rRNA from 1 species
UACGUAGGGUGCGAGCGUUAAUCGGAAUUACUGGGCGUAAAGCGUGCGCAGGCGGUUUUGUAAGUCAGAUGUGAAAUCCCCGGGCUUAACCUGGGAACUGCGUUUGAAACUACAAGGCUAGAGUGUGGCAGAGGGAGGUGGAAUUCCACGUGUAGCAGUGAAAUGCGUAGAGAUGUGGAGGAACACCGAUGGCGAAGGCAGCCCCCUGGGUUAACACUGACGCUCAGGCACGAAAGCGUGGGGAGCAAACAGG